CAGCCGCCACGGUAAUACGGAGGGUGCAAGCGUUAAUCGGAAUUACUGGGCGUAAAGCGCACGCAGGCGGUCUGACAAGUCAGAUGUGAAAUCCCCGGGCUUAACCUGGGAACUGCAUUUGAAACUGUCAGGCUGGAGUCUUGUAGAGGGGGGUAGAAUUCCAGGUGUAGCGGUGAAAUGCGUAGAGAUCUGGAGGAAUACCGGUGGCGAAGGCGGCCCCCUGGACAAAGGCUGACGCUCAGGUGCGAAAGCGUGGGGAGCAAACAGGAUUAGAUACCCCGGUAGUCCCUGUCUCUUAUAA
rnacentral:rRNA from 1 species